UACAGAGGUCCCAAGCGUUGUUCGGAUUCAUUGGGCGUAAAGGGUGCGUAGGCGGCGCGGUAAGUCGGGUGUGAAAUCUCGGAGCUUAACUCCGAAACUGCAUUCGAUACUGCCGUGCUUGAGGACUGGAGAGGAGACUGGAAUUUACGGUGUAGCGGUGAAAUGCGUAGAUAUCGUAAGGAAGACCAGUGGCGAAGGCGGGGUCUCUGGGCCGAUACUGACGGCUGAGGAGCGAAAGCGUGGGGAGCAAACAGG
rnacentral:rRNA from 1 species